rnacentral:rRNA from 1 species
AUUGAACGCUGGCGGCAUGCCUUACACAUGCAAGUCGAACGGCAGCACGGGAGCAAUCCUGGUGGCGAGUGGCGAACGGGUGAGUAAUAUAUCGGAACGUGCCCAGUCGUGGGGAUAACGUAGCGAAAGCUACGCUAAUACCGCAUACGAUCUAUGGAUGAAAGCGGGGGAUCGCAAGACCUCGCGCGAUUGGAGCGGCCGAUAUCAGAUUAGGUAGUUGGUGAGGUAAAGGCUCACCAAGCCGACGAUCUGUAGCUGGUCUGAGAGGACGACCAGCCACACUGGGACUGAGACACGGCCCAGACCUCCUACGGAGGCAGCAGUGGGAAUAUUGGACAAUGGGCGCAAGCCUGAUCCAGCAAUGCCGCGUGCAGGAUGAA